GCUAUUGAGACUCCAACUGGAGAGCGUUACCGUUUCCUAUUGUCUGCUAAACCGCAAUCGUCGUCUCCAUGUUGCGAGCUACCUCUCGGACUUUCGGACUUCCUUGGCCCGAUCUCAACGACGGCCUGACCUACAACGACAUCGUUCGAUCCUCCGACUCCGAUUUUACGCUUAUAGAUUUCUACUCUAACAAGUACAAGAAUUCAGCUCCGUUACAGGGUUGGUUGCAGCGAAUACGAAAUGGACAGAUAGAAAUUGACGGAGAAGUUGUUACAGAUCCCUACACAAUUCUCAGUACUGGUUCGAGAUUAUCUUAUCAUAGGCUUCCUUGGAAAGAGCCUGAUGCACCACAUUUGUUAGAGGUUCUUUAUGAAGAUGAUGAUAUGAUUGCUUUGAACAAGCCAUCUGGUCUUCAAGUGUUGCCAGGGGGACUUUUUCAGCAGAGGACUGUUUUAACACAGCUCCAAUGGCUGGUAAGCAAGCACAGCUCUUUGUUGAAAAGCCAGGAAUCGCAUCCUGUCCCUGUUCAUCGCCUAGGAAGAGGCACAUCAGGGAUAUUACUCUGUGCAAAGUCAAAACUCGCAAAAACUCACCUGGCAGCUUAUUUUGCCGAUGGGACAUCACUUGUUGGAGCCACCAGUAAAAAAAACCAAGAACUUGGUAUGAGAAGAAAAAUUUCUAAGAUAUAUAGGGCACUUGUAAGUGGGAUACUUGAUGAGGAUAAGGCUAUCAUCAGGCAGCCAAUUGGUGUCAUGAGAUAUCCUGGAGUGGCAAAAGGGCUUUAUGUUGCUACUCCGUCAGGGAAACCAGCUCUUAGUAAAGUUGAUGUCCUUGAGAGAAACGUACCAGAAAACCAGACGCUGGUCCAGGUUGAGAUUCAAUCAGGGCGCCCGCACCAGAUUCGGAUUCACCUUUCUUUUAUAGGACAUCCUUUGUUGGUGAAACGCAGGCUCUUUUAUAGAAAAUCUCAAAUCUGAUUCGUGUAUUGCUUUGAUGAGUUCAGCAUGUGAAGAUUGCCUUAACCAUCAUAUGCAAACAGCAUUACAGUAAGAAAUUAGACUUCUAAGAAAUCUCCACAUUAAUUGUGUUCACAUGUUUGGCCUAAGUAGUUAUCGGGGAUUAUCUUUACAGUUGUUUCCAAUGGCCUUAGGAAGCACUAAUGUAACCAGGAUGUUGUAUAUAGAAGCUUAGAUCAACUAAUCACAGGCUGGAAAUCCCUUCAAACGAUUUGCUGUAUCUUUUGGUUCAGUGAUCCUCUCUAUGUUGUUGGUGGGCAACCCAAGUAUGUCAAUCCUGAACUUAUAGAUGAAAGCUUUGCUGAAGAUGGAGGAUAUCAAAGGCCCAUGCAACCUGUUCCUGGAGACUGCGGCUAUUACUUGCAUGCACAUCAG